GACAGAGGUUGCAAACGUUGUUCGGAAUCACUGGGCAUAAAGCGCACGUAGGCGGUCUGUUAAGUCAGGUGUGAAAGCCCCCGGCUCAACCGUGGAACUGCUCGGUAUACUGCUUUCUUGAGCCACUUAGGGCUGUCGGAACAAACGGUGGAGCGGUGAAAUGCGUAGAUAUCGGAAGGAACGCCGGUGGCGAAAGCGAUCGACUGGACCUUUUCUGACGCUGAUGCGCGAAAGCCAGGGAGCAAACGGG
rnacentral:rRNA from 1 species